GAUGAACGCUGGCGGCGUGCCUAAUACAUGCAAGUCGAGCGAACAGACGAGGAGCUUUCUCCCUUGACGUUAGCGUCGGACGGGUGAGUAAAACGUGGAUAACCCAUCUAUAUGACUGGGAUAACACCGGGAAACCGGAGCUCUUAUCGGGCAAUCUAUUUAAUCGCAUCGUUCAAUAGAGAAAGACGGUGUUGCCUUUUCUUAUACAAUGAUUCGCGCCGCAUUAGCAAGUUGGUAAGGUAACGGCUUACCAAGGCGACGAUGGGUAGCCGACCUGAGAGAGUGAUCGGCCACACGGGAACUGGGACACGGUCCAGACUCCUACGGGAGGCGGCAGUAGGGAAUCUUCCGCAAUGAGCGAAAGCCUAACGGAGCAACGCCGCGUGAGUGAUGAAGGUCUUCGGAUCGUAAAACUCUGUUAUUAGGGAAGAACAAAUGUGUAAGUACCUAUGCACGUCUUGACGGUACCUGAACAGAAAGCCACGGCUAACUACGUG
rnacentral:rRNA from 1 species